rnacentral:antisense_RNA from 1 species
GCUCUGGACUUUGUUUUUGGAGGUAGCCUGUGAUGCAGGGCAGAAAAGAGCUGAUGCCUUGGAGAGAGACUGGGAGAGGCUGGAGUUAAUAGAGGGUCCCAGGGUAUCCAAGAAGCUGUCAUCCAGGUCUUCUCCAAUGAAGCUACAACAACCCACAGAGCCAGCAGGGGAACCUACACCUUCGAUGUCAUAUAUGAGCAAACAGUCAUUAGAUGGGCGUCCUUCAUCUUCAUCUGCAUGGAGUGAAUAUGAUGAUUCUGUGAAGGUUUAUUGCAACAUGACUUUUUCAGCACAGCAACAGGAAAAUUUGACUCUGGGUCUGUUCUACAAAAUUAAAGCUUUCUCAGCACAAAAAACAGCAUAGACUGUGAGUGAUGGCGGCCAUCUUGGUUCAUGUGUGAAGACUGAAUUUCAGUGACUACCAACGGCUAUUUCUUAGAAUGUGGCACUUACCCUGGGUUCAGGCUGUGGUCCUUCUACUGCCCAUGAAUGAAUUGCUCCAUCUGAACAUUCGGGAACAGGCUCAAAGCCAGCUGCACUACGAGGAGCACCUCCACAGUCACAACAGAUCAUCAAAAAUGGGACCACUGGUGGUGGAGGGAUAGUAAUACUAGAGUUAGCACUGGGUGCAAAUAAAAAACAAAACAACCUGAUUUUUUAUGGUUAAAU